rnacentral:rRNA from 1 species
GAAUAUGGGGGGACCAUCCUCCAAGGCUAAAUACUCCUGACUGACCGAUAGUGAACCAGUACCGUGAGGGAAAGGCGAAAAGAACCCCGGCGAGGGGAGUGAAAAAGAACCUGAAACCGUGUACGUACAAGCAGUGGGAGCACAGAGCAAUCUGUGUGACUGCGUACCUUUUGUAUAAUGGGUCAGCGACUUAUAUUCUGUAGCAAGGUUAACCGAAUAGGGGAGCCGAAGGGAAACCGAGUCUUAACUGGGCGUUAAGUUGCAGGGUAUAGACCCGAAACCCGGUGAUCUAGCCAUGGGCAGGUUGAAGGUUGGGUAACACUAACUGGAGGACCGAACCGACUAAUGUUGAAAAAUUAGCGGAUGACUUGUGGCUGGGGGUGAAAGGCCAAUCAAACCGGGAGAUAGCUGGUUCUCCCCGAAAGCUAUUUAGGUAGCGCCUCGUGAAUUCAUCUCCGGGGGUAGAGCACUGUUUCGGCAAGGGGGUCAUCCCGACUUACCAACCCGAUGCAAACUGCGAAUACCGGAGAAUGUUAUCACGGGAGACACACGGCGGGUGCUAACGUCCGUCGUGAAGAGGGAAACAACCCAGACCGCCAGCUAAGGUCCCAAAGUCAUGGUUAAGUGGGAAACGAUGUGGGAAGGCCCAGACAGCCAGGAUGUUGGCUUAGAAGCAGCCAUCAUUUAAAGAAAGCGUAAUAGCUCACUGGUCGAGUCGGCCUGCGCGGAAGAUGUAACGGGGCUAAACCAUG